UGAGGAACAUGACCUUCGGCGGGGGAUAGCCGGCCCAACGGCCGGGUAAUACCGCGUACGACCACAUGGGGACAUCCCUGAGUGGUGAAAGCAGCAAUGCGCCGAUGGAGUGCCUCGCGGCCUAUCAGCUAGUUGGUGAGGUAACGGCUCACCAAGGCAACGACGGGUAGCUGGU
rnacentral:rRNA from 1 species